AGAGUUUGAUCCUGGCUCAGGGUGAACGCUGGCGGCGUGCUUAAGACAUGCAAGUCGAACGGACUCCCCUCGGGGAGUCAGUGGCGCACGGGUGAGUAACACGUAACUGACCUGCCCCAAAGUUCCGAAUAACCCUCCGAAAGGAGGGCUAAGACGGAAUGUGCUGUCCCCUCGUGUGGGGCCAGUAAAGGCUGUGACCGCUUUGGGAUGGGGUUGCGUUCCAUCAGCUUGUUGGUGAGGUAAAGGCUUACCAAGGCGACGACGGAUAGCCGGCCUGAGAGGGUGGCCGGCCACAGGGGCACUGAGACACGGGUCCCACUCCUACGGGAGGCAGCAGUUAGGAAUCUUCCACAAUGGGCGAAAGCCUGAUGGAGCGACGCCGCGUGAGGGAUGAAGGUUUUCGGAUCGUAAACCUCUGAAUCAGAGACGAAAGGCCCCGACAAGGGGAGAUGACGGUAUCUGAGUAAUAGCACCGGCUAACUCCGUG
rnacentral:rRNA from 1 species